rnacentral:rRNA from 1 species
AUUGAACGCUGGCGGCAGGCCUAACACAUGCAAGUCGAACGGUAGCACAGAGAGCUUGCUCUCGGGUGACGAGUGGCGGACGGGUGAGUAACGUCUGGGAAACUGCCCGAUGGAGGGGGAUAACUACUGGAAACGGUAGCUAAUACCGCAUAACGUCGCAAGACCAAAGUGGGGGACCUUCGGGCCUCACACCAUCGGAUGUGCCCAGAUGGGAUUAGCUAGUAGGUGGGGUAAUGGCUCACCUAGGCGACGAUCCCUAGCUGGUCUGAGAGGAGAAACAGCCACACUGGAACUGAGACAAGGGCCAGACUCCUACGGGAGGCAGCAGUGGGGAAUAUUGCACAAUGGGCGCAAGCCUGAUGCAGCCAUGCCGCGUGUAUGAAGAAGGCCUUCGGGUUGUAAAGUACUUUCAGCGGGGAGGAAGGCGGUGAAGUUAAUAACUUCACCGAUUGACGUUACCCGCAGAAGAAGCACCGGCUAACUCCGUGCCAGCCGCCGCAGUAA